GCAGGAACGGCGAUUAGCUGGAGGGCUUUUCCUUUCCAUGUGUUAUUCUUCCACCGUGGCUGAGGAGCAGCUUUAAACUCUUUGCAGAAUCACAACAAUGUUUCGCUCCUCGGAUCCUGUGGCAUCCGAAUGCUUGGGUCACUUAAAACUUGGCUGCAAGAACACACUGCAGGGAGCAAUGCUGAACAGGCAGGGAACGAGAACAUGCCAAGGCGAGAGCAGAAGGAAAGGAGUCUGGAAUAGAGGAAAGUUCACUCAUCUGACAUAAGACGAAGGACUCGGUGAAAAUCAGGGGCCAGAGAAGCAGAGGAGACAGCCAGACACACAGGAAUUUUCAAGCUGCUGUUGAAGUGUCAUGCAAGUAGUGGAGGACCAUAGAAACACCUGUUCAGAUCAGGGCCCCACUGAGAGCCAGGAAGGGGUGGAGACACUAGCUCCUACCUAGUCUGAGAUGCUUCAUUGCCAAAGCAACGACUCCCAUCCCAGCCCCAGUCUUUCUGACCUGGGGAAAGUAUACAAAGUGGUCUCCAUGUUAACAUUUCACCUAAGGCCAGUCCUAUGUCCAAGUCUUGAUCUACAACACCAAGGUCACAUGUUCCAUUGGUUGGCUGUGAUCACCACACACCCCUUUCUUUGACCUUUUCAAACUCUCCCAUAAAAGAGGUCAACAUUAAUUUUGCGAAAUUGUUUUCUGAUCUUCACUUAAAAUUCAGAAGGGAAGGUGAGAGGUUACAAACCAGCCACUAUGAGGUUCCUUCUCCAUUACUUUGUGAGAAUUUAAUUUCCUCCAGUUCCUUGGAGAUGGUGCUCCAAAGGUCAAUGUUGCAAAAUAAAUGUUCCUUGAUGAAGCUUUUAACUUGCUGUCCCAUCUUGCCUGGUUCAGCAGCUGUGUCCUUUGUUGAUUGACAUAUCUUAAUACACUUGCUUAGAGUGUUGCACACUCUCUUUAUCGCUUGCUUGAUAUUAGAGGGAAGAAGAUGACUGUCCAUGGAACGAGGAAUCAGAAGAUGCUCCCUCCUCUGACUUUAUUUUUCAACAGAAGCAUCAGACACAUAAUGGGAAUAAUGGAUCACUUUCCAUUAUUUUCUUUCUUUUUUAGCAUCAACUUCAGAUUACACAUAAUGAAUUCAAACUACAGAUUGCAUGAAGAUGCACAGCAUGUUUCAUGGUGAGAAGAGAUUCUGGUAUUAUCACACUACCUGCAAAGGAAUUAAAGCAUAGCUGUCAACUUUUCCCUUUUCUUGCGAGGAAUCCUAUUUGGAAUAAGGGAAU